GUGGGGAAUUUUGGACAAUGGGCGAAAGCCUGAUCCAGCCAUGCCGCGUGCAGGAUGAAGGCCUUCGGGUUGUAAACUGCUUUUGUACGGAACGAAAAGACUCCUUCUAAUAAAGGGGGUCCAUGACGGUACCGUAAGAAUAAGCACCGGCUAACUACGUGCCAGCAGCCGCGGUAAUACGUAGGGUGCAAGCGUUAAUCGGAAUUACUGGGCGUAAAGCGUGCGCAGGCGGUUAUAUAAGACAGAUGUGAAAUCCCCGGGCUCAACCUGGGAACUGCAUUUGUGACUGUAUAGCUAGAGUACGGUAGAGGGGGAUGGAAUUCCGCGUGUAGCAGUGAAAUGCGUAGAUAUGCAGAGGAACACCGAUGGCGAAGGCAAUCCCCUGGACCUGUACUGACGCUCAUGCACGAAAGCGUGGGGAGCAAACAGGAUUAGAUACCCCGGUAGUCC
rnacentral:rRNA from 1 species